UACGAAGGGGGCUAGCGUUGUUCGGAAUUACUGGGCGUAAAGCGCACGUAGGCGGAUUUGUUAGUCAGGGGUGAAAUCCCGGGGCUCAACCUCGGAACUGCCUUUGAUACUGCAAGUCUCGAGUCCGGAAGAGGUGAGUGGAAUUCCUAGUGUAGAGGUGAAAUUCGUAGAUAGUUAGGAAGAACACCAGUGGCGAAGGCGGCUCACUGGUCCGGUACUGACGCUGAGGUGGCGAAAGCGUGGGGAGCGAACGGGG
rnacentral:rRNA from 1 species